UGGGCAACCUGCCCCUAGCUCUGGGAUAACUCCAAGAAAUUGGGGCUAAUACCGGAUAUGACCGCUGACCGCAUGGUCUGGUGGUGGAAAGAUUUAUCGGCUGGGGAUGGGCCCGCGGCCUAUCAGCUUGUUGGUGGGGUAGUGGCCUACCAAGGCGACGACGGGUAGCCGGCCUGAGAGGGUGACCGGCCACACUGGGACUGAGACACGGCCCAGACUCCUACGGGAGGCAGCAGUGGGG
rnacentral:rRNA from 1 species